AGGCUCAAGGAAAUAUGCUGAGAACUCUUCCGCAGCUUAUUUCUAUCAGCAAGGGUGUUAUCUUACGAGGAGCUUAAUGUGACUAAUCUCUUAUUAGCAUUUUGGCUCUGCAUGUUUAACUCACCUGCUAUGUGUUUGGUGGAUUCUCCAUGUAAUCAAACAAAGUUGCAAUUGAACCAAUAAUAAAAGAAUAAAAUGAAAUUGCAAAUAAAUUGAAACAUGAACCAAUAACAUUGUGGUACAAGUAGACCGGUUUUUUAUUGUCAUGAAAUAUUUUGGAGGCAUGUUCUAUUCUAAAUUUGAAAGUGAAAGGACAGUAGUUUCAAAAGCAUGCAUAUGGCUGGUACAAAUAAAGAAAAAUUGUGGUACACUGACAAGGUACACUGAUAUUACUGAUAUGGUAACAAAUGAUCUAUUUGCAAUGAUCUAUAUUACUAAUAUGGAUUACAACUUACAUCCAUCCAACGCCCCCGACGACAUAUAACGCACGUCCCGUGAGUAGGAAGAUUCAGAUUUCUUUCUGAUCCUGCCUUUGAUG
rnacentral:lncRNA from 1 species